rnacentral:misc_RNA from 1 species
GGAAGUAAAAGUCGUAACAAAGGUUUCCGUAGGUGAACCUGCGGAAGGAUCAUUACAGAGUUCAUGCCCGAAAGGGUAGACCUCCCACCCUUGUGUAUUAUUACUUUGUUGCUUUGGCGAGCGCAAGCUCGCCAGAGAAUACCAAAACUCUUUUUAUUAAUGUCGUCUGAGUACUAUAUAAUAGUUAAAACUUUCAACAACGGAUCUCUUGGUUCUG